rnacentral:rRNA from 1 species
GGGUGCGAUCAUAUCAGCACUAAUGAAUCAGAUCCCAUCGGAACUCGGAAGUUAAGCGUGUUUGCCCAAGAAUGGUACAAAGACGAGCUUUGUCGCAGGAC